rnacentral:rRNA from 1 species
GCAGGGUAUAGACCCGAAACCCGGUGAUCUAGCCAUGGGCAGGUUGAAGGUUGGGUAACACUAACUGGAGGACCGAACCGACUAAUGUUGAAAAAUUAGCGGAUGACCUGUGGCUGGGGGUGAAAGGCCAAUCAAACCGGGAGAUAGCUGGUUCUCCCCGAAAGCUAUUUAGGUAGCGCCUCGUGAAUUCAUCUCCGGGGGUAGAGCACUGUUUCGGCUAGGGGGCCAUCCCGGCUUACCAACCCGAUGCAAACUGCGAAUACCGGAGAAUGUUAUCACGGGAGACACACGGCGGGUGCUAACGUCCGUCGUGAAGAGGGAAACAACCCAGACCGCCAGCUAAGGUCCCAAAGUCAUGGUUAAGUGGGAAACGAUGUGGGAAGGCCCAGACAGCCAGGAUGUUGGCUUAGAAGCAGCCAUCAUUUAAAGAAAGCGUAAUAGCUCACUGGUCGAGUCGGCCUGCGCGGAAGAUGUAACGGGGCUAAACCAUGCACCGAAGCUGCGGCAGCGACGCUGAUGCGUUGUUGGGUAGGGGAGCGUUCUGUAAGCCUGUGAAGGUGGCCUGUGAGGGUUGCUGGAGGUAUCAGAAGUGCGAAUGCUGACAUAAGUAACGAUAAAGCGGGUGAAAAGCCCGCUCGCCGGAAGACCAAGGGUUCCUGUCCAACGUUAAUCGGGGCAGGGUGAGUCGACCCCUAAGGCGAGGCCGAAAGGCGUAGUCGAUGGGAAACGGGUUAAUAUUCCCGUACUUGGUGUUACUGCGAAGGGGGGACGGAGAAGGCUAUGUUGGCCGGGCGACGGUUGUCCCGGUUUAAGCGUGUAGGUGUGUGUUCCAGGUAAAUCCGGUUCACUUUAACACUGAGGCGUGACGACGAGGCACUACGGUGCUGAAGCAACAAAUGCCCUGCUUCCAGGAAAAGCCUCUAAGCAUCAGGUAACAUCAAAUCGUACCCCAAACCGACACAGGUGGUCAGGUAGAGAAUACCAAGGCGCUUGAGAGAACUCGGGUGAAGGAACUAGGCAAAAUGGUGCCGUAACUUCGGGAGAAGGCACGCUGACACGUAGGUGAAGUGAUUUACUCAUGGAGCUGAAGUCAGUCGAAGAUACCAGCUGGCUGCAACUGUUUAUUAAAAACACAGCACUGUGCAAACACGAAAGUGGACGUAUACGGUGUGACGCCUGCCCGGUGCCGGAAGGUUAAUUGAUGGGGUCAGCGCAAGCGAAGCUCCUGAUCGAAGCCCCGGUAAACGGCGGCCGUAACUAUAACGGUCCUAAGGUAGCGAAAUUCCUUGUCGGGUAAGUUCCGACCUGCACGAAUGGCGUAAUGAUGGCCAGGCUGUCUCCACCCGAGACUCAGUGAAAUUGAACUCGCUGUGAAGAUGCAGUGUACCCGCGGCAAGACGGAAAGACCCCGUGAACCUUUACUAUAGCUUGACACUGAACAUUGAGCCUUGAUGUGUAGGAUAGGUGGGAGGCUUUGAAGUGUGG